rnacentral:rRNA from 1 species
AGACUUUAAGUCUCCUGAAGGAACGUUAAAGACGAUGACGUUGAUAGGCCGGGUGUGUAAGCGCAGCGAUGCGUUGAGCUAACCGGUACUAAUGAACCGUGAGGCUUAACCUUACAACGCCGAAG